UGGAGCCCUGCAUUCAGCUCUGGGGCCCCCAGCACAAGAAGGAAAUGGACGUAUUACGUCCACCUGUUUGGGAGGGAAAUGUACAGAAGAUUUUUGCUUCUCUUGGGAGGAAACAUCCUUCCACCUUCUUCUGGGCAGGUCCUGUUUGGAGAGGUGUGAUGUGAUCCGCAGCAACUCCAGCUUGUGGAGUGGAAGGGUCUGACUGCCAUCUCUGUGUCCUGUUGGAGCCACAGUGUUCCCAUGUCAUACUGCUUCACUAUGAUCCGGGAGGACAUCACGGUGUGACAGGAGAUACAAUCCAAACAGCCAUUACCAUUAAACAAGCAUCAUGGCAUUUCAAAAUUAAAAUGUCUGUUUGUCAGUUAUUCCCCCAAAAGGCAACACUUUUCCAACAAGGGGGAAAACACUGGCAUAGGUAGGAGGCUGACCAAAUUCCUUGACAUGUCGCUUCAACGCAGUUAUCAGCUUAGUAAUGAUGACAAUGUCUUGUUACUAGUAGUGAGCUUGUGAAUCACUGUGGGAGGCUAAGGAUGAUUACUCAGCCACUCUCCGUGAUACUUCUGAAGUUGUCUCCUGCUGAAAACUUUCCUACCCACCUUUUUAAGAUCAUGUUUUCCCUUGCUCUGGCCUCUUUUAUGUUGUUUUGCUCGCCGGUAGGAGAUGGAGCUGCAACUCUUGUCAAAACAGAUGAAUAAAU